rnacentral:rRNA from 1 species
ACGUAGGUGGCAAGCGUUGUCCGGAAUUAUUGGGCGUAAAGCGCGCGCAGGCGGUUUUUUAAGUCGGUCUUAAAAGUGCAGGGCUUAACCCUGUGAUGGGACUGAAACUGGAAGACUAGAGUAUCGGAGAGGAAAGUGGAAUUCCUAGUGUAGCGGUGAAAUGCGUAGAUAUUAGGAGGAACACCAGUGGCGAAGGCGACUUUCUGGACGAAAACUGACGCUGAGGCGCGAAAGCCAGGGGAGCGAACGG